GGGACGGCCCUGGUGAGGUUGAAACAGCCCCAGUGAGGUCGGGACGGCCCCGGUGAGGUUGAAACGGCCCCGGUGAGGUCGGAACGACCCCGGUGAGGUUGAAACGGCCCUGGUGAGGU